UUUAUUUGCCGAACAAAUUUU
rnacentral:piRNA from 1 species